GGGGUUGUGGUUCAGUGGUAGAACUCUUGCCUCACAUGUGUGAGGCAUUGGGUUUGACUCUCAGAACUCUU
rnacentral:tRNA from 1 species